rnacentral:rRNA from 1 species
UACGUAGGGGGCGAGCGUUGUCCGGAUUUAUUGGGCGUAAAGAGCGUGUAGGCGGCUCGGUAAGUCUGUCGUGAAAUCCUGAGGCUCAACCUCGGGCGUGCGAUGGAUACUGCCGGGCUAGAGGGUGGUAGAGGCGAGUGGAAUUCCCGGUGUAGCGGUGAAAUGCGCAGAUAUCGGGAGGAACACCAGUAGCGAAGGCGGCUCGCUGGGCCACACCUGACGCUGAGACGCGAAAGCCAGGGGAGCAAACGGG